UGGGGAUUCCCGCGGCCUUGGCCGCUACCCGGCCUGCCCCGCGGCAAGAUGGCGGCGUGAAGGUGGCGGGCAGCGGCAGAAACUGAAGACUCAGGGGCCCCAGGGACUGGAAGAAAUCACAGUGCCCGCUUGGAAAGAAGAAGAGGUAGCGACUUGCCCCAGCUCAACCCCAGAGCGGGAGCUGUUGGCUAGAGGAAGUGGAGGGGCCGUGGGAUGCAGAGAGCCGAGGGCUAACUCUGGGACAGCGGAACAGAGAGAGCUGCCGACGAUCAGACGCAGGUUGAGGAGCCCUCACCUCCCAGGAUGACCAGCGCAGCCCCUGCUAAGAAACCGUACCGUAAGGCCCCACCUGAGCAUCGGGAGUUGCGGCUGGAGGUUCCUGGAUCCCGGCUGGAGCAGGAGGAGCCCCUGACCGAUGCAGAGAGGAUGAAGCUGUUGCAGCAGGAGAACGAGGAGCUCCGCCGGCGCCUGGCCUCAGCCACCAGGCGCACCGAGGCCCUGGAGCGCGAGCUGGAGAUCGGGCAGGACUGCUUGGAGCUGGAGCUGGGCCAGAGCCGCGAGGAGCUGGACAAAUUUAAGGACAAGUUCCGCAGGCUUCAGAACAGCUACACGGCUUCCCAGAGGACCAACCAGGAGCUGGAGGACAAGCUGCACACACUGAUCAAGAAAGCGGAGAUGGACAGGAAGACGCUGGACUGGGAGAUCGUGGAGCUGACCAACAAGCUGCUGGAUGCCAAGAACACCAUCAACAAGCUGGAGGAGCUCAAUGAGCGGUACCGGCUGGACUGCAACCUGGCUGUGCAGCUCCUCAAGUGCAACAAGUCCCACUUCCGCAACCACAAGUUCGCCGAUCUGCCCUGUGAGCUACAGGACAUGGUUCGGAAACAUCUGCACAGUGGUCAAGAGGCUGCCAGCCCGGGCCCCGCCCCUAGCCUGAUGCCAGGGGCUGUGGUACCCACCUCGGUCAUUGCCCGGGUGUUAGAGAAGCCAGAGUCUCUACUGCUCAACUCAGCCCAGUCAGGCAGUGCCGGGCGCCCCUUGGCCGAGGAUGUCUUUGUGCACGUGGACAUGAGUGGGGGGGGGCCGGGUGACCCAGCCAGUCCCCCAGCCCCUGGCAGCCCCACCUCACAACCCAAUGGGGAAUGCCGCUCCCUGGGCACUGCUGGGGGCUCCCCAGAGGAGGAGUUGCCCCUGCCAGCCUUUGAGAAGCUGAGCCCCUACCCCACCCCAUCUCCACCACACCCGCUGUAUCCUGGCCGCAAGGUAAUCGAGUUCUCUGAGGAUAAGGUGCGAAUCCCCCGCAACAGCCCCCUGCCCAACUGCACUUACGCCACCCGCCAGGCCAUUUCCCUGAGCCUGGUGGAGGAGGGUGGUGAGCGGGCCCGCCCCAGCCCAGUGCCCAGCAGCCCUGCCUCGGCCCAGACCUCCCCCCGCCACGAGCCCAGCCCUGUCCCCCCGGCACUCAGUGCCCCGGCCAGCUCUGCCAGCUCUGAGGAGGACCUGCUAGCCAGCUGGCAGCGAGCAUUUGUGGACCGCACUCCACCCCCAGCCGCCGUGGCCCAGCGCACAGCCUUUGGACGUGAUGCCCUCCCUGACCUGCAGCGCCACUUUGCUCUUAGCCCCACUGACAGAGAUGAGGAGGUUCUGGUGCCUUCUUCCCCACCUGGUGAGAGUGGGCUUUUGCUGCCAACAGAAGCUGAUUCUGGCCUUCCCAGGGAGGAGGAAGAAGAGCUGAACCUGCCCAUCAGCCCUGAGGAAGAACGCCAGAGUCUGCUGCCCGGUGAUAAUGGCACAGAUCAGGGGCCUGUCACUUCCCACACUGACGGCAGGGCCUGGGCACUCCCCAGCUCCA
rnacentral:lncRNA from 1 species